GAUGAACGCUGGCGGCGUGCCUAAUACAUGCAAGUCGAGCGAACGGACGAGAAGCUUGCUUCUCUGAUGUUAGCGGCGGACGGGUGAGUAACACGUGGAUAACCUACCUAUAAGACUGGGAUAACUUCGGGAAACCGGAGCUAAUACCGGAUGAUAUUUUGAACCGCAUGGUUCAAAAGUGAAAGACGGUCUUGCUGUCACUUAUAGAUGGAUCCGCGCUGCAUUAGCUAGUUGGUAAGGUAACGGCUUACCAAGGCAACGAUGCAUAGCCGACCUGAGAGGGUGAUCGGCCACACGGGAACUGAGACACGGUCCAGACUCCUACGGGAGGCAGCAGUAGGGAAUCUUCCGCAAUGGGCGAAAGCCUGACGGAGCAAAGCCGCGUGAGUGAUGAAGGUCUUCGGAUCGUAAAACUCUGUUAUUAGGGAAGAACAUAUGUGUAAGUAACUGUGCACAUCUUGACGGUACCUAAUCAGAAAGCCACGGCUAACUACGUG
rnacentral:rRNA from 1 species